AUUGAACGCUGGCGGCAUGCCUUACACAUGCAAGUCGAACGGCAGCACGGGUGCUUGCACCUGGUGGCGAGUGGCGAACGGGUGAGUAAUACAUCGGAACGUACCUUAUCGUGGGGGAUAACGCAGCGAAAGCUGUGCUAAUACCGCAUACGCCCUGAGGGGGAAAGCGGGGGAUCGAAAGACCUCGCGCGAUUAGAGCGGCCGAUGCCUGAUUAGCUUGUUGGUGGGGUAAAAGCCCACCAAGGCGACGAUCAGUAGCUGGUCUGGGAGGACGAUCAGCCACACUGGGACUGAGACACGGCCCAGACUCCAACGGGAGGAAGCAGUGGGGAAUUUUGGACAAUGGGGGCAACCCUGAUCCAGCAAUGCCGCGUGAGUGAAGAAGGCCUUCGGGUUGUAAAGCUCUUUUGUCAGGGAAGAAACACCGGCUCUAACACAGUCCGGGAAUGACGGUACCUGAAGAAUAAGCACCGGCUAACUACGUGCCAGCAGCCGCAGUAA
rnacentral:rRNA from 1 species